AACGAACGCUGGCGGCAUGCCUAACACAUGCAAGUCGAACGAUCCCUUCGGGGAUAGUGGCGCACGGGUGCGUAAUGCGUGGGAACCUGCCCUUAGGUUCUGAAUAUCUCCGAGAAAUUUGAGCUAAUACCGGAUAAUGUCUUCGGACCAAAGAUUUAUCGCCUUUGGAUGGGCCCGCGUUGGAUUAGCUAGUUGGUGGGGUAAAGGCCUACCAAGGAGACGAUGCAUAGCUGGUAUGGGGGGAUGAUCAGCAACACUGGGACAGAGACACGGCCCAGACUCCUAGGAAAGGAAGAAGUGGGGAAUAAGGAACAAUGCGUGAAAGACUAAGGCAGCAAUGCCGCAUGAGUGAGGAAGGCGUUAGGGUAGUAAAGCUCUUUUACACGGAAUAGAAAUGACAGUACCGGGAGAAUAAGCCACGGCUAACUCCGUG
rnacentral:rRNA from 1 species